GAGAAGGACAAAGUGGAGAGGGAGGAGAUGGAGCAAUCUCUUAUGUGAUCAUUCCAUCAACUCACAAAUUUUUCACCUAACACCUGGUUCAACUGUAAUGUGCUCAGCUCCAUAUAACCUGGACAGCAGCUGUGCCCUCACCCCCAAACUCAGCAAAUUAUUAUGGUCCUCUAAUCAAGAGAAUUUUGCUCCUGUUACUGCAUGUCUUGUGGGUUCAUCGUCAGACCAGUGAGUUGAUACCAAACUUCACCAAACGGCUCUCCGGAGCAACCGUUUAGAGGUGACUUGGCUACCCUACCUGUGUCUGUGACUGAGUAGAGGCAAGAGGAGGGAGCUCUUAGCAGAAAUACAUUGGACAUGUGACCUGGUGAAGGCCAAGGGAGGGGUGUUGAUGUGAAGACGCUGGAGACAUCAUCUGUGAAGAGAGGCCGGCCCUCCCCUUCUGCUGGAGCCUCAGUGUCCCCUCACCAUUCUGUCCUGGUCCAGAGAUUUCUGCUGUUGAUACUUAUCAGAGACACAAAGCUGAGGAGGAACAGAUGUGCCGUGUCAUCAGCCAUAACAGAAAAAGUACAUGUAUGUUUUUUUGACCAGAUGUUUGCAAGAGUUGUAUUAAAUAUAUUUCGUUC
rnacentral:sRNA from 1 species